AUUGAACGCUGUCGGCAGGCCUAACACAUGCAAGUCGAGCGGUAGCACAGAGAGCUUGCUCUCGGGUGACGAGCGGCGGACGGGUGAGUAAUGUCUGGGAAACUGCCUGAUGGAGGGGGAUAACUACUGGAAACGGUAGCUAAUACCGCAUAACGUCGCAAGACCAAAGUGGGGGACCUUCGGGCCUCAUGCCAUCAGAUGUGCCCAGAUGGGAUUAGCUAGUAGGUGGGGUAAUGGCUCACCUAGGCGACGAUCCCUAGCUGGUCUGAGAGGAUGACCAGCCACACUGGAACUGAGACACGGUCCAGACUCCUACGGGAGGCAGCAGUGGGGAAUAUUGCACAAUGGGCGCAAGCCUGAUGCAGCCAUGCCGCGUGUGUGAAGAAGGCCUUCGGGUUGUAAAGCACUUUCAGCGGGGAGGAAGGCGAUAAGGUUAAUAACCUCAUCGAUUGACGUUACCCGCAGAAGAAGCACCGGCUAACUCCGUGCCAGCAGCCGCGGUAAUACGGAGGGUGCAAGCGUUAAUCGGAAUUACUGGGCGUAAAGCGCACGCAGGCGGUCUGUCAAGUCGGAUGUGAAAUCCCCGGGCUCAACCUGGGAACUGCAUUCGAAACUGGCAGGCUAGAGUCUUGUAGAGGGGGGUAGAAUUCCAGGUGUAGCGGUGAAAUGCGUAGAGAUCUGGAGGAAUACCGGUGGCGAAGGCGGCCCCCUGGACAAAGACUGACGCUCAGGUGCGAAAGCGUGGGGAGCAAACAGGAUUAGAUACCCUGGUAGUCCACGCCGUAAACGAUGUCGAUUUGGAGGUUGUGCCCUUGAGGCGUGGCUUCCGGAGCUAACGCGUUAAAUCGACCGCCUGGGGAGUACGGCCGCAAGGUUAAAACUCAAAUGAAUUGACGGGGGCCCGCACAAGCGGUGGAGCAUGUGGUUUAAUUCGAUGCAACGCGAAGAACCUUACCUGGUCUUGACAUCCACAGAACUUUCCAGAGAUGGAUUGGUGCCUUCGGGAACUGUGAGACAGGUGCUGCAUGGCUGUCGUCAGCUCGUGUUGUGAAAUGUUGGGUUAAGUCCCGCAACGAGCGCAACCCUUAUCCUUUGUUGCCAGCGGUCCGGCCGGGAACUCAAAGGAGACUGCCAGUGAUAAACUGGAGGAAGGUGGGGAUGACGUCAAGUCAUCAUGGCCCUUACGACCAGGGCUACACACGUGCUACAAUGGCAUAUACAAAGAGAAGCGACCUCGCGAGAGCAAGCGGACCUCAUAAAGUAUGUCGUAGUCCGGAUUGGAGUCUGCAACUCGACUCCAUGAAGUCGGAAUCGCUAGUAAUCGUAGAUCAGAAUGCUACGGUGAAUACGUUCCCGGGCCU
rnacentral:rRNA from 1 species